rnacentral:lncRNA from 1 species
UGGACACUUAGGUCGUGUCCACAUCUUGGCUGUCGUGAAUAACGCUGCCGUGAACAUGUGGGUGCAGAUAUGUCUUCGGGAUCCUGAGUUCAACUCUUUUGGAUGUAUACCCAGAAGUGGGAUGGCUGGAACAUAUGCAGGUUAUCCUGGUCUUCCUCACAUCCCGGUGGUCUAAAAGACUCAAGAAGGCAAACCCCAAAGCCACUAAGCAGAGUACCAUGCUGUUGAACGAAGGGAUGCAUGAGUGCGUGGAUUAAGAUGUAUAAACUUGAUUUCAGAUUGUUUAUAUUUCUGAAGUUACAACCAAGAGCAGGUUCUUUUUCUUUUAUUAACAGCAGGCACCAUUCCAUACCCUUUGCAUUCAUUAUCUUACUUCAUCCUCAGAACGACCUUUUUAGGUAGACACCAUUCUCACGAGUCCUCUUCUAAGAAUGAGGAAAUAGAGACAGCAUGGCUGUUGGGUUAAGCAUUUGCCUGUGGUCAUAAUAUUCAAGUGUGGUGAGACCAGCAUUAUGAACCCGUGCGGCCUGGCACCACAGAACACUACCCUGCCUCCCAGAGGCAACAUGGAUGGGCUUUGCACAAAGAACACAGCUCUCUGGUGCCAACACCUAUCACCCACAGGCCCAGUGAGAAAGUAAGGUAAGACCCCCCAGCCCAGUCCUCUCCCUUCCAGGAGGGUUGACCAUGUUACCAACAGACAGGAGGAGGGAGUGAGUUGAAGCGGCCCCUGAAAACUAGAUCCUGGUCGGUCUGAUCAGAAAAUCAGUAGGCAGGAGUUGUAGAAUCUGGUAUAUGCACGUGUGUUUUCUUUUCGUAGAAUUGGAAUCAGGCUACCCCAGAGAGAAAACACAUCCAAUUUUCAUGGGCUUAAUUGGGUAGAGUCCAGGCUCUUCGUAAGAUGAGCUAGGCAUUCAGAGACUGGACUGAUCAGACACAAAUACUUGCCAACCUUUUAAAAACAUGCUACUACCUCAUUCACACCCUGUCAUUUUAAAUAUAGCAUUGGAUAAUAAAUUUAAACCACUGCGUUCGUCAAGUUGAAUAAGCCUGAUUCAUAUUUAAGGCCUGUAGCAUCCACUAAUUUAGGAUACAGUCAGGGGAGAAAACUUCAAUGUAAAGAGGUGGCUGACUGCAAGGAGGACCCAAGGUCCACAAAGGAUUUUUCCCUUGAUCCCCUCAGCAACAUAAUUCCUUUGUGUGUUGAAUUACC